AGCUCGAUAGCUCAGCGGUAGUGCGUCUCUCCCACUUUGCAUCGCGUCCUAGUUGUCUUAUAUGGGUGGAGAGAAAGAUCUCGGUUCGUCUCCGAGUCGAGCUA